AGUUUGAUCAUGGCUCAGAUUGAACGCUGGCGGGAUGCUUUACACAUGCAAGUCGAACGGCAGCACGGACUUCGGUCUGGUGGCGAGUGGCGAACGGGUGAGUAAUGUAUCGGAACGUGCCUAGUAGCGGGGGAUAACUACGCGAAAGCGUAGCCUGGCCUACAUACGCCCUUCGGGGGAAAGCGGGGGACCUUCGGGCCUCGCACUAUUAGAGCGGCCGAUAUCGGAUUAGCUAGUUGGUGGGGUAACGGCUCACCAAGGCGACGAUCCGUAGCUGGUUUGAGAGGACGACCAGCCACACUGGGACUGAGACACGGCCCAGACUCCUACGGGAGGCAGCAGUGGGAAUUUUGGACAAUGGGGAAACCCUGAUCCAGCCAUCCCGCGUGUGCGAUGAAGGCCUUCCGGGUUGUAAAGCACUUUUGGCAGGAAAAAAACGGCACGGGAUAAGCCCGUGCAACUGACGAAACACCUGCAGAAUAAGCACCGGCUAACUACGUGCAGCAGCCGCGGUAAUACGUAGGGUGCAAGCGUUAAUCGGAAUUACUGGGCGUAAAGCGUGCGCGAGCGGUUGGAAAGAAAGAUGUGAAAUCCCAGAGCUUAACUUUGGAACUGCAUUUUUAACUACCGAGCUAGAGUGUGUCAGAGGGAGGUGGAAUUCCGCGUGUAGCAGUGAAAUGCGUAGAUAUGCGGAGGAACACCGAUGGCGAGAGAGCAGCCUCCUGGGAUAACACUGACGCUCAUGCACGAAAGCGUGGGAGCAAACAGGAUUAGAUACCCUGGUAGUCCACGCCCUAAACGAUGUCAACUAGCUGUUGGGGCCUUCGGGCCUUGGUAGCGCAGCUAACGCGUGAAGUUGACCGCCUGGGGAGUACGGUCGCAAGAUUAAAACUCAAAGGAAUUGACGGGGACCCGCACAAGCGGUAGAUGAUGUGGAUUAAUUCGAUGCAACGCGAAAAACCUUACCCUACCCUUGACAUGUCUGGAAUCCCGAAAGAGAUUUGGGAGUGCUCGCAAGAGAACCGGAACACAGGUGCUGCAUGGCUGUCGUCAGCUCGUGUCGUGAGAUGUUGGGUUAAGUCCCGCAACGAGCGCAACCCUUGUCAUUAGUUGCUACGAAAAGGGCACUCUAAUGAGACUGCCGGUGACAAACCGGAGGAAGGUGGGGAUGACGUCAAGUCCUCAUGGCCCAUAUGGGUAGGGCCCCACACGUCAUACAAUGGUCGGGACAGAGGGUCGCCAACCCGCGAGGAGCCAAUCCCGAGGGAAACCCGAUCGUAGUCCGGAUCAUGAUCUGCAACUCGACUGCGUGAAGUCGGAAUCGCUAGUAAUCGCGGAUCAGCAUGUCGCGGUGAAUACGUUCCGGGUCUUGUACACACCGCCCGUCACACCAUGGGAGUGGGUUUUACCAGAAGUAGUUAGCUAACCAUGGGGGCGAUUACCACGGUAGGAUUCAUGACUGGGGUGAAGUCGUAACAAGGUAG
rnacentral:rRNA from 1 species